AGAAAACGGAAAAUCAGACACCAUGAGACCCGCAGUGCUCCCCUCCCCGUCAUCUCUCGCACCCACUGUGCAAUCCCCGCCAAAGAUCCCUAUUUCAAAGCAGCUCUUCCCUAAACUUCAACGCAAUCAACACCAACCUCAACCUUCUCCGUUUCGAAUCAAGAUCUCUCGCCGCGACGCUGCCCUACUCUCUUUUUUCGCGCUCGUGCCUCCUCCUCCUGCAACCGCCUUCACCAUUGGCAUUUCGGGACCGAAGGAUUGGCUGAGAGAACAAAAGAAGAAAGCCUCGAAGUUCCUCUUCGCUCCUAUCGAUGCCUCCCGCGAAAGCCUUCGCACUGCGUAUCGCUUGCUAACGCCGAGCGGUUCUGACGAUUCGAACAGGGACAUGGGGGAAGUUCUGAGGCUGCUUAGAUCUGCUGCUAGGGAUUGCGUUAUGCAAGAGAGGAACUUGUUCGUUGCGUUUCAAGCUAGUACAGGAGUUGAGGUUUGUACAUUCAGACUGAUUGUGAAGAAUGCAUCUUCAUUGCUCGCCAAUAAUGACCCUGCAAAGUUGGAAGCUGAAGCUAUGCUAGAUGAUCUUGUAAGAUCUUUAACCACCCUUAACAAUGUAGCAAAUGAAGCUGAUGUUCAACUUGUUUCUAGCAGUUUGUCUCUUAAGGAAUAGUUUUAUUGGGUGAACCAGAAGCCUGCACCAGAUAUAAGCGACGGCACGGUGUUCCGUCAUCUGGGUGAGUCUGCAUUGACCGAGGCAAGCUGCGGAGCUUAUUGAACAGAUUUAAUGGGUCAUGCAUGAGCCCAAAAUUGGCAUCUGGGUCUCCUAUUUGUGAAAGCUUAACAUCCGAAAACCCCAAAGAGGGAAGGAGAUGAUCAGGCCAAUCGCUAUAGAAAUGGAAUAUGGAAUUGGGGAUUGUGGUCGAUGGUUUGUUCAUAAAAUCUGCUAAGAGGACUGUCUGGGUAAGAGCGCAGUUGUCAGCUAUGAGAUUCAACACUUGCAUAGCAUGCGAGUGCGAGAGGUAGUAGAGGAUACCUUCUAGAACCCACACUGUAUUCUUAUCUAAUACGUAACCUGAUUUUUGAAGCUUUUCGAGCCAGUCACUGUCUCUAAUGUCAGCGGCCACUCUGUUCAACGAUUUUGCUUCCAGAACAAGAUGAUUUUCAUUUAUUGAUUCUGUAGCUGCCCGUAGAAGAGUGGCUUUCAUCUGCAAGACUUCAGGAAAAUCAAUCUCAAAGACGUGGCUUUCCUUUAGGCAACUUAAACGGAUGCAAUCAAAUAUGCGAAGCACUAAAAUGCAAGGAGCCAAGAAAGACUUGUGUAAUCACAAACCUGCACCGAGCAACACCACCUGUGUUUCUCCACCAUUGAAGGACUUGAGAGCAGCUUCAAGUUUGGUAUCAAACCAGAGGGUUCGAACUGCCAGAAUCACACCGGAGACCUCUCGGGCAUUAUUAAGCCGGUCCUUCUUUAUCUUCUCGUGGAGGCUUCUUAGGUAUGUCUCUCCAGCAAGCAACCCUGCAAGCGGGUCAUGGAUGACAUGCUUCCACAGCGCUCGUCCCGCUGCUGUUUGGCAUGCUGACCGCUGAAGUGAAUCCCACUCAUUUUCUAUAGCUGCAUGGAGCUCCCGAGCAGUGUCGGUAAACAGCAGGUCCGGGAGCUUCAGCUCCGGCCAUGCAGGGGCUUCCACCAGGCCAUUCUCUGCACCCGACAUGCUACCGAAUGACAUGAAAACUCAGGAGGGGAAUAGAAGGAAGUGAAGCAAAUGAUGCGAGACAUUGUGUGUGGGAGGGGGGGAGAGGAAGCUUAUGAAGGGAGUGGGGUGUAGUUGGGGAUAAGGAAAGACAGCCACACACCAAACCAACGCUCUAGAGAACAGAUGAAUCGUAUCCAGCUUGGUGGCCUUGGCCUUGGCCUUGGGUCUUGGCAUUGAUGAAAAUUGAAAAGGAAGGUAAUGAAGGAGUCCACGACUACUGCCAUUUCAUAUCUCUGCCCAACUUGUCCUUUUCAUUGUAGAAAGUGACGAGGAAUGGCUCCCACCAGAAAAGGCGCUCUUCAUGACACCGCCUCGCCCGAUACUUCGUACUCCCUUGUUUUUUAUUUGGUUCCGGUUGUACACGUUAUCCUUGCGCUCUCAGCGGGAGUUAAGGAGCGGUAGAUAUGAAGAAGAAGACUUGGGGCCCGUCUUGGAUAAACGCAGGGAAUAUCAGGUAAUUAGCCUUUUUAAAUUUUUUAUUUUUGAUUAUAAAAAAUAAAAAAAAGAUAUAUAGUAAAUUAAUAAAUUAAAAUUUAAUU